rnacentral:rRNA from 1 species
CCUACGGGUGGCUGCAGUGAGGAAUAUUGGUCAAUGGGCGAAAGCCUGAACCAGCCAUGCCGCGUGCAGGAAGACGGUCCUAUGGAUUGUAAACUGCUUUUAUACAGGAAGAAACAUUUCGACGUGUCGAAACUUGACGGUACUGUAGGAAUAAGGAUCGGCUAACUCCGUGCCAGCAGCCGCGGUAAUACGGAGGAUCCAAGCGUUAUCCGGAAUCAUUGGGUUUAAAGGGUUCGUAGGCGGCUUUGUAAGUCAGUGGUGAAAUCUUUCAGCUU